UGGAUUUAAGCAUAUAAUUAAGCGGAGGAAAAGAAACUAACCAGGAUUCCCUCAGUAAGGGCGACUGAAGCGGGAAGAGCUCAACUUGUGAAUCAGCGCUUGCGCCGAAUUGUGGUGUGCUCACGCUAUGGGCCGGGCCAAGUCCCUUGGAAAAGGGCAGCAGAGAGGGUGAGACUCCCGUCCGCCUGGCCCUUGGAGUAGGCAUAAUAGAGUCGAGUUGUUUGGGAUUGCAGCUCUAAGUGGGUGGUAAAUUCCAUCGAAAGCUAAAUAUCGGUGGGAGACCGAUAGCGUACAAGUACCGUGAGGGAAAGAUGCAAAGAACUUUGAAAAGAGAGUUAAAGAGUACCUGAAAUUGCUGAAAGGGAAGCGAAGGAAACCAGUGUCGUCCCCGUCAUAUUUCUCUGCCCGCUUGCGGUCAGAGCGCUGUGGCUGGAUUGGUCAGGCUUGGUUGGUCGGGUCGGAAACGUGCCUCUGGUGUUGCCAGUGGUUUGUGGCGACUUGAACGACUGAGACUGGUGAAAUGGUUUUCUUUACCCCGUCUUGAAACAGGGAACCAAGGA
rnacentral:rRNA from 1 species